rnacentral:rRNA from 1 species
CCUACGGGUGGCUGCAGUGAGGAAUAUUGGUCAAUGGGCUUACGCCUGAACCAGCCAAGUCGCGUGAGGGAAGACUGCCCUAUGGGUUGUAAACCUCUUUUGUCAGGGAGCAAUUGGCGCUACGUGUAGUGUUAUCGAGAGUACCUGAAGAAAAAGCAUCGCCUAACUCCGUCCCAGCAGCCGCGGUAAUACGGAGGUUGCGAGCGUUAUCCGGAUUUAUUGGGUUUAAAGGGUGCGUAGGCGGAAUGCCAAGUCAGCGGUAAAAUCGCGGGGCUCAACCGCGCUCCGCCGUUGAAACUGGCGUUCUGGAGUGGGCGAGAAGUAUGCGGAAUGCGUGGUGUAGCGGUGAAAUGCAUAGAUAUCACGCAGAACUCCGAUUGCGAAGGCAGCAUACCGGCGCCCAACUGACGCUGAAGCACGAAAGCGUGGGUAUCGAACAGGAUUAGAUACCCGGGUAGUC